ACAAGAACACUAGAAGACCGAAGAAGAGUUGAGAGCAGGGGGCAGCUCCCGGGGAAGAACUGCUGGGAGACAGACAUUACUGUCGGAAAAGCUAUGCUCCUCUAAUCCUCUGCGUACUGAAACAGACCUUCACAGCCAAACUGUUGUCGGCGACCUGAGCGCUGGAAGCCGAAGGGAGGAAGGACACGCGAAGCCCGGGCGGCCGAGCAGGGCGGCCGGCACAAAGGAAGCAGACUCGCCACGGCAGCGUAUGCCCGCGCCGGCGAAGGCACGGCCCGCGGCCCUGCUAGACCGAAGUCCCGCACCGGCAGCUAGGAAUAAAGUUUACAUUCUCCUGAGACCGCACCCCCCCUCCCACCCAGAACCGCGCAUCUCCGCGUCCUCCUCCCCCAAACUGCACUCGGGACCCCGAGCACCACCCCAGCCUUCCAGCCAGCACAACAAAGAGACAGACCGACCGGCGAGGGUAAACAGCCGCGGCAGGGCGAGCAGGGCGAGCAGGGCGGGCAGGGCGAGCGCCUCGAGAUAAGCAACUCUGGAGUCACCCGCUCUCUGGAGCGUAGUUUCUCCUUUUCGGUUUCAACCGGCUUUACGAUAUUUGGAAUUUUCAUCGUCACCCGCACCCCUCACACCCGAGGAUUUUAAACUCACCUUUACUUUCGAACUGAGAGUUGCGGUUGAUGGGAUUUUUGCCUUCCCCAGAUGGUUGAAGGUUACGAUUUUUGUUUUUGGAAACCCCACCACCUCCUUAUUUCUAUUAUUAUUUUUGCAAGAGAAGUAUAAAGAGAGUUGGAGUGGAGGUGAAAUUUGUGAUCGGGAAAGCCCUGGACGCCCUCCUUCUCCGUCUUCCGCCUCUCUCUCUCUGAUUAGUUCCUAUCCAGCAGCAGAUUGAAGCAGGAGAUGAUUCUUCUCAAGGUUUGUUCAGCAGCUUCACUUCUAGGCGAAGGCUUCAUGAACCAAGUGACGUCAACCAACGAGGCUUCUCUCUCUCUCCUCUCUCUAACAAUGAAAGUUGCUGUUAACAAGGGAAAAAAGAGAAUUGUUUAUACCAUUUCAGUUCCAAUAAUAAAUGACCUAUCAGCUCCUAAAGUAGCCAAGGGAGGGAGGGGGUUGCUUCUUCCUCCCAAGAAUCCUGUAGCUUUGAGUUUGCACCGAUCCUUGUCCCAGGAAAAAGUUAAGAAACUCAAAUGUUUUGUUUUGCCGUUAAAAGUAGAGAAGACAGAAAAUAGGAUUGAACACGUAAUUUUAAAAAAAAGUACACUGGCGAAUAGGGAGCAUAUAUUAACCAUUUCUACCUAAACUUUUUUGUCUGUAAACUCAGAAUUUGGUUAAACUCUAAAAGCCAACUAAUGUAAUAUGCCAAAAAUUCGUGGAUGUUUGGAACUCAAAAUAAAAAAGCAGGACGCAAAAUGGUCCCGGGGUAAAACGUUACUGCCCUGACACCGGCAAGUUAAGCUGCUGUAAUGUUUAUGGAUUGAGUUAAAAUUUAUAUAAAACGUUAAAAUAGUAAAUCAUUUUAAAGUUAUACGUUAGAACUGUAAAAGGUAACCUCAGUAGUUUUUCCCCCCAGCUUCUGAGAGGGCAAAAGAAAAAGGGGGGAGGAUAGCUAAUUGUACGAAUUAGAACACUUAAAAAAUCAAGUGAAAACUGGGUAGCCCAUUGCUCCAUCUUUAAAUUACACACAAGGUAUGCUAUUUGUCUAUCCCCAGAAUUUCUUCCAACUUCCUAUUUUUUACCCUUCCAUUUUCUCCCACCAAUUUCAGCAUCCUAAAACCAAAAAAGUUAAAGGUGAAGUCCACCCAAUUCCCUCCUACGGCACACCACCCUGUAGCUUCCUAAAAAUGAUUCUUUUAAAAAGGUCUUAACCGUGGUAACGCUUUAUUACCCAAGAAGAUAAAUAAUUUAAAAAUUUUUUCAUUGAGGUAGUGUUUUUCCCCUGGAACACAUUAAAGUCUCAAAAGUUCAUAUAAUUAAAACUUGCAUAAUUUAAUUUUCAGGAUAAAGAGCAAGUGAAAGGCAAGCUAUAGAAAAUUAAUUUGACCAUAUAUGUAUAUUUUGUACAUGCAUAUGUGGAUAAAUGUAUCUUAAAAGAUGCUAUUGUUUUAUGUUUCCUCUUCAGCCACUGGCUGUGAUUUUAAUUGUGCUGGAGGAUCUUCAUUAGUAUUAACACAUGGGGAGAUUUCACAAAGCUGCUUCAUUAAGACAAAAAAAAAAAGCUUGGCAGACUAGGUCUUUUUGCAUGCACUGAGAAUGUCAGCCUUACCUCGGUCAUUUGUAACAUAAUAAGUGCAAGUACAAUGAUUGCAAUGCAGGAGCGCUGGGGGGAAGGGCAGAAAUACUGCCUGUCUAAUAGGGAUAUCUGAAAAGAAGGCUGCUCAUUAUAUAGUAAAAUGUAUGCUAAAAAUUAGUGAAGAUGAUGUCUCAGGAGACUGAUGCUAAAUAAAUUAAUGUGCUGAUAUGUUUUUAAUUAUUA